rnacentral:rRNA from 1 species
GACGAACGCUGGCGGCGUGCCUAAUACAUGCAAGUCGAACGAGUGGCGAACGGGUGAGUAACACGUGGGUGAUCUGCCUUGCACUUCGGGAUAAGCUUGGGAAAUUGGUUCUAAUACCGGAUAGUGCAAGAUGAGCCUGCGGCCUAUCAGCUCGUGGGUGGGGUAAGGGCUACCAAGGCGUGACGGGUAGCUGGCCUGAGAGGGUGUACGGCCACAGUGGGACUGAGAUACGGCCCGGACAACUACGGGCGGCAGCAAUGAGGAGUAUUGCACGAGGGGCGGAAGCCUGAUGCAGCGACGCAGCGUGGGGGAUGGAGGACUUCGGGUUGUAAACACCUUUCGACAGGGACGCGGUACCUGUAUAAGAAGCACCGGCUAACUACGUGCCAGCAGCCGCGGUAAUUC